AAAGCUGCAGGCAGACUGGCGCGGGCAUCCCGAUCGGUGGAUUUAUCUAAGACGGCUGUUGUUAGAACCUGAUUACACACAAAGCAUCAACUGAGCUGAUUUUCACAUCUUGUUCUGGAUCUCCUUGGCCCCUUAGUAAAAUAUUUAUGGAUUAUAUAAAUAUCAAGCACACCAUAGUUUGUCUUCCCGCUGUUGGAUCCAUCAGAGGCGGCAUACAAAUUUACGCCGCCGCACACACAUCGGUAAAUUACAUCUCCCAGCAGGCCGAGCAGCCAGGGUGCACAUGUAGGCUUAAUUACAGAGAGAACCCUUGGAAGAAACUAAUCCUUCCCCAUUUUGGAGAGCUUUGAGCUCCAGAGGAGGCUUCUCGACUCAUCAGCCUGUAAAUCAGCACUCCGUUGGCGCGAGCUCCACUUCCUGCCCCUACGGCAGGCCUCGCACUCUCUGAAUCACUGUGAACCCAGAGGACUGGAGCUGCAGGGAGGCCAGGUAUAUUUGCUUAUCUUGCACUGUUGGACAUGCUGGAAUCUGUGCAAAGAGUUUCAGAUGGAUACUCUGAGCUUUUUGAAAUUCAGAACUGUAAAAACUUCCAGUCCCACUCGGACAGUGAAGACGCCGACUGUGGGAUUUUUCUGUCCGUGCGCGAAACAUGUGGCCUCUCAGACCGUUUGAAGUCUUUUCUUUAACAUUUAGAGCUGACAGAGAUGAUUACUUACAACAUGAAGAACACUAAUCAGAGAGACAUUUCCCUUUUUUGUUUUAAGUUAGUGGAAAGAAUAAAAACCGACUGUUGGCCUUGUUCCCGUAGCAGGAAUUAAUUCAGCAGAUGGGAUUUGGACAGUAAAUAUGUGCAGCCAUGAAAGGAUUACUGAAGCUCUGAAGAGGCUGUAAACAUUUACUGCUUGAAGGUUAAUCAAGUGACAGCAGAGAGACACAAAACCCUACAAAAACACAAACUUUUCCAACACAAUCAGGCCUUUCUUCCCUCCAUCAGCAGUGAAAACAAACUCACUGCAGCUUCACCUGAGCAGAAACUGCAGCUUGACUGGAGUCCUUUUCCACAUGAUAGUGAAGAAGCAGGUCUACUCUGAGUGUCAGGCUUCUCCACCGUCAGCUCUGAGUUUGAGCACAUUUACAUUUCGGUUUCCUGCCAUAAAAAUCCGUUUGAGGAGUUUAUGUCAAGUAUUUCUUCGACUGUCGCUCCAUAAGUGAUGAAAUAUGGAGGAUAAGUGGAGGAAGACAGUGACUGACCACAGGCACACCGCCGCAGACCAAAAUGACAGAGGUCAUAAAAAGCAUGGAUGUCAGGAAAUAAAAGCAGCGUUUAAAGGACGCGCGCACGCACACACGCUUGGUAAAUUACUGAGCUCUUUAUGUGUUUUUCCAGCUCCAGCAGAACUUUGCUGUGGUCUCCCAAAAUUUUCCUGCUGUCACUUUUAAUGCAGAGGAACAAUAGAGGAGCUCGUGGACCUGAGUGACAUCACAGAGGCCUGACAGCAAAACCUGCUGACACAGAGGUGAGUCAGCAGGUAGACGUCAGCGUGGAUGACGACACAUAGCAGGGAUGAUGCCCAGCUGUAAAUCAGUCCUAGGAUGAUGGGAAGACAUGACACCCCAGGGAUGGGUUUAAAAAAAGACUGCAGAGCCCAGAAGUCAGAGGAGCCAGAAGCUCUUUUUGAAGUGGGUUGAUGUGACUGUCACAUAAACAGAGCACUCAUGGGCUUGGAAAUCCUGGAAAAGGCAUGGAAUCUGAAUGUUUUCCAGGCCCGGAGACAAUUGAAUCAGACCAGAAGCUGCUCUCAGCUCAACCCUCACACACUCCAGAAAACUCCAGCUGAGUGUUUCCUUCAUGAGGUCAGGAGAGAAAACAGGACUGAUGGGAAACCAGCCAUCGCUCACAGGGACUCUGAGUAAUCCGCUUCACCACAGGAUGAAUCGACACUGACGUUAGAGGAACUGCAGCUUUUGGUUCUUUGUUUUGUCUUUUCAGAGAGCAGCAGUCAGUAAGAUGAGCUCUGACUGAUCAUCAUGUCUCCUGAUCGUGUGCCUCCUGACAGGCCUCCACCUCUCUGACCGACCUCUUCAUGCCUUGUGUUGUUUUGACCUUUCUGUUUUUUCCUGCCUCUGAGAUCCACCACACCCACCUCUCAUCCAGCCACGCUCGCUCUUCAGCCUUCCUCCAUCUUCAUCUCCAUCUUCAGGAGUCUGAAUAAGUCUGAGUAAUGUGGACAAUCAUCACUUCUGUCAGACCUAAAAAUGUUUAUUUCUGUUUAAGAAGGUUUUUCUGCAGGAUUUGUUGAAAGUCUAGCUUCAUUUUGUCAUUUUAAAUUAAAUAUGCCCAAAUCUGAAUUUAUUAUGACUUAAAAAACUGUAAAUUCUAGAAGCUGAGAUGCUGGAGACAUCAGAGCUUUUAAAAAGUGUCUCAGCUCUCUAUAAAAAUAUUAUUAAGGUCAAAUAAUCGAUUAAUCAUCUUAUUUAUGUUUAGAUUGAUAUAAUAGGGCAAAUCCAACAUGUGGAAAAAUAUAAGAGAAUUGUUAGUUCAGUUUCAUAUUUAGGAAAUUCUUUAAAUAAUUUAUUAGUGUCAUAUAUAUAUAGUGUUAUAUGUAAGAGCUUAUAUUUCAUUUAAUACAUUAAUGUGUGUAUUUUGUAUUCUCUUUAGUUUUUUUAAUUUUUAAAUAAAACUUGUAAACAUUUGAGCAAAAAUAUUCAACAUCAACAGAUUCAUCUUAGUUUGAUUAUUUUUUUUAAAUAUUUCUUAUCCAUUUGCCCUGUUACAUUUUAUAUGACUGAUGCUGUUUCAAGGGGAGGAUUAAAUUGUUUUUACUUGUUCUUAUUAUGCAGUGUAUAUUAUAUCCAUGAUAAAGAUUUUUUUUAAAAAGAUUAAAUCAAGUCACUUUAACCCUAUCUGGGUUCCUGGGUCGGUAAUCAGGAACCCAGUUUUCAGUUUGGACUUUUGUCAGUGUUUAGUUUCCAUGUGCUUCCUGUUUUAUUGUGUUAGCCUUUUGUCUGUGUGCAUUAUGUUCAGUUCUUCUUACCAUGUCUCAUUGGUCAGAUCCAGUUCAGCUGUGUUCUUACCUGAUCAUCCAGUGUAUUUAAGCCCUCAGUUUUUCUCAUUUCGUCAUCGUCUAUUCAGUGAGUGUGUUUCCAGUUCAGUUACGUUCAGACCAGUCGUUCAUGUACAUUUCUCUCAGUUCUGUUAAUAAACACUGUACUCAUCUUCA